rnacentral:rRNA from 1 species
AACGAAGGCUGGCGGCAUGCCUAACACAUGCAAGUCGAACGAGACCUUCGGGUCUAGUGGCGCACGGGUGCGUAACGCGUGGGAACCUGCCCUUAGGUUCGGAAUAACUCCCCGAAAGGGGUGCUAAUACCGGAUAAUGUCUUCGGACCAAAGAUUUAUCGCCUUUGGAUGGGCCCGCGUUGGAUUAGCUAGUUGGUAGGGUAAAAGCCUACCAAGGCGACGAUCCAUAGCUGGUCUGAGAGGAUGAUCAGCCACACUGGGACUGAGACACGGCCCAGACUCCUACGGGAGGCAGCAGUGGGGAAUAUUGGACAAUGGGCGAAAGCCUGAUCCAGCAAUGCCGCGUGAGUGAUGAAGGCCUUAGGGUUGUAAAGCUUUUUUACCCGGGAUGAUAAUGACAGUACCGGGAGAAUAAGCUCCGGCUAACUCCGUG